UCAAUCUUCAGUUUUGACUCUUUUCCACUUCACCCUUGGUACUUCUCACGUCUUCCGACGACUGACCGAUUAGAAACAAUCCAAUGACCGGACGACCAGAAUGUUGCAGGCCAGCAAGCACCACAUAAGCAACAUUCAUUACACAGCAGCGAGUUAGCGACCAACAAUCCAACAUCAUGCAACAUCGAUCGACAUCACCUAGCAGCCGAAUAGGGAUCACCAUCGACCGACCGGCGAUCACCAUGAAUGAGGGGUCCAAGAGUUAAGACAAUGAAGAAAGGUGUAAAGUACCAAAUUUUGUUAGUGUUUUGGUAAUUUUAUUGGCACUUGAGACUUGAAAGUGAUUUCAUGGAAGAAAUGGAAGAGAGUCACGAAACAACAUUAUUGUUAUUUGUUAUUGUUGGCACUUGAAACUUGAAAGUGGUCUCAUGGAAGAGGUUACAUUGUUUGUUGCUCAUUAUUGUUGUUUGUUAUUGUUGGCACUUGAAACUUGAAGGUGGACUCAUGGAAGAGGCUAUAUUGUUUGUUGUUCAUUAUUGUUAUUUGUUAUUGUUGGCACUUGAAACUUGAAUAUGAUCUCAUGAAAACUACAUUGGUGCAUUAUUGUUACUUGUUAGAUUGUUAUUUCGUUGUUGUUUAAUGGUAUGAUCAAUUGAUCAUUGUAUUUGUGAAGUGUUGUGAAGUUUAAUUACUUGUAAAGUUGUUACUUGUUAGUGCCUUUUUGGCCUAAAACUGCCACAUCAUUUUGUAUUAUUAUGAGGAUUCUUUCAUUUUGAUUUGAUUUUUGAGGGGGGUAAGAUGAAUUUAAAUGUUUCCUUGAA